rnacentral:rRNA from 1 species
GCUACUUUCGCAUGAAAGAAGUUUAAAAAGGCGGCGUAAAGCUGUCGCUAAAGGAUGGACCUGCGAUGCAUUAGCUAGUUGGUAAGGUAACGGCUUACCAAGGCGAUGAUGCAUAGCCGAGUUGAGAGACUGAUCGGCCACAUUGGGACUGAGACACGGCCCAAACUCCUACGGGAGGCAGCAGUAGGGAAUCUUCCACAAUGGACGCAAGUCUGAUGGAGCAACGCCGCGUGAGUGAAGAAGGUUUUCGGAUCGUAAAGCUCUGUUGUUGGUGAAGAAGGAUAGAGGUAGUAACUGGCCUUUAUUUGACGGUAAUCAACCAGAAAGUCACGGGCUAACUACGUGCCAGCAGCCGCGGUAAAU